CACCCGCUUCUAGCCCCAGAUCUUCCACUUCUCCCUGCCUUUGGGCCAGAGGGUAAUUUAAAAAGGAGGUCGCUGGUGAGGACAUGGACAUUCCCAGCCUCCGCCUUGACAGACUGGCCUGGGGAAGUGGGGACAGUGGGCCCAGAGGGGAUCAUUCCAGGAGCUGCGGGCCCGCAGUACCUGGUUCCUGCCAGUCACAGGGCGUCGCAGGCACAGUCAUGGCGUCACCAACGCUCGACCCAGACUUCCGCCCUGAAGGGAGCAGAGCGCUGGAGGAGGGCGUGGCGGGGAGGCCGCCAUGACACCCGGCUGCGGGCCGCUGGGUCAGUGCCUCUCCCGGUGGGCCUGCGGGCUCCAGGUGUCUUGGUAAAUUAUUUUACUCCCGUGCCACUGGCCCAGACAGUUGUCACUCCCUGUGACCCUUUCAGUAAUCUUAAACGCUGGAGUUAAAGGACAGUUGAAGACAUUUUCAUAUAUAAUUUGUUUUAAUUGAUUACAGCCUGAAUUGGAUUUUCAAUUUUAUUUUUUUUUUGAGAUGGCGUCUCGAUCUGUUGCCCAGGCUGGGGUACAGUGGCAUGAUCUUGGCUCACUGCAACCUCCACCUCCCAGGUUCCAGUGAUUCUCCUGCCUCAGCCUCCUGCAUAACUGAAAUUACAAGGUGCACCACCACGCCAGAUUAAUUUUUGUAUUUUUAGUAGAGACAGGGUUUGGCCAUGUUGGCCAGGCUGGUCUUGAACUCCUGACCUCAAAUGAUCUACCUACUUCAGCCCCCCAAAGUGCUGGGAUUACAGGCAUGAGCCACUGCACCUGGCUGAAUUUUCAGUUGUGAUGAAACAGCUCUAUUAGAAGUGAAAGGCCCAAAGACCCUAAUCUGAGAAGAGAAAGCAAGAGUUCCCCACGCCAGUGGAGAUUUACCCUAGCUCCUGUGUUUAUCAAGACUGCAUUUAUUUUUGUUUGUGUUCAGAUUGUAAAACUGCAUAGGAUACAAAUGGUCCUUGUCAGUCC
rnacentral:lncRNA from 13 species